rfam:Triticum aestivum genome assembly, contig: Triticum_aestivum_CS42_TGACv1_scaffold_093828_2AL
AUGGUACUCCCUCCGUUCCAAAUUACUUGUCGUGGGAAUAGAUGUAUCUAGAUGCAUUUUAAUGCUAGAUACAUCCAUUUCUGCGACGAGUAAUUUAGAACGGAGGGAGUACAAG